CUCUGAUCCAAUGGCGUACAGGCAUCUUCAAUUUGACAGUAGUCUAGCGCAAUGAUGUAGGGGGAUCCAGUGGGGGCGGCAGUCAUAUUUCAGGGUGACCAUGCCACUCUUUAUCACAACCCUGCUAAAAUGUAGCAAUGUAGUGCCAGUAUAAGCAUUCAUUGGUGCCCCUUCAGCUGGUGCCACCCCAGGUGACCGCCUAGCUCACCUAUGCCUACACUGAAAAAACAAACUUUGAGUACGUUCACAUCCGCGUGACCGAAUCACAUGCCCGCGUUUUGGAUCCGAGACAGACGGUUGCGAUUGCCACACGUGCGAUUGGGAUUGUCACAAGUGGAUGCAAAGUUAAUGUGUACGCUUGACUGCAUUUAGGAAAUCUCUCAGACGCAUGGUUUUCAACCCUGGUGUGUCAUCAAGGAUAAACAAACCAAAACAUUGAGAUGAGGCGUGAAGCUGUUAUCCGGAGCCUCAUACUGUACCUUGGCGAGAAAGAAGAGGAACUGUUUGAAGAUUGCCAGGAGGACAACCACAGUGACACAGCGCAACACACCCUCAAGAUUCUGGUUGUACAUGGAGCUGAUGGAAAGGAUCCAGUGGAUGUAUCCAUUAUUCUUGAAGGCAAGGAGAUAUUGCCGGGAUGCCAAAAUACUGCUAAAGCUUGUGCCCUGCUUAUGGGACUCAUUUAUGCCCUCAACCUUGCAUACCCCAGAGCACUGCGUUACACUUUCGAGGUGUUUCAGAAACUUUUUCUAGAAUUAGAUGUUAUUAAGCUCUCUACAAAAGUACAAGCUUUUAAGUCGAAGUUGUUUUAUUAAAUGCUAUUGCCAUUGCAAGUACUGCACAUUUUUGGUUACCAGUACUCCCCAACUAAGUUUGAAAUCUUCCAGGUUCUAUUGGACUAUUUGCACAGACAUAAUGUUUCUCUGAUCACUUGUGUACAUAAUUAGCAGUUUUGCUUUUGAAUUUAGUUUAACCAUUGUGAACAGUGGUGGUAAGACACUUGCCUGUUUUCUGCUUUGUGCCAACUAAGGCAUCUGGUCUUUUUUUCUUUAUUGUCAUGUUUAGAGCACUAGUCAAGAGCGCCAUGUUAGUUGUUGAAACGGCAUUGUUUUAGACUUUUUUAAAAUUUAACAGAAUUCGUAAAAGCACUACUCAUUAUCAGUAGGAUGCAGUCUCUUUUAAGAAAUUAUUUUUGACAUUAUUUAGCAAAAUUGCUUUAUAUAGAAAUAUUGACAUCUUUAACUGUUAAACAAAAUGUUUUUAUGCAUUUAAUGUUGUAAUGUUUAGAGCACAAGUACAGAGUGCUAUGUUGAAUGUUGAAACUGCACUGUUUGAGAGGAUUGUUACUUUUAUUGAAAUAGUAAAUGUUGUAUCCAUGCAUUAUAUCCAUGAGGUUUAAACCUCAUCCCAUGUUUUUGUAUACCUCUUGGGGUUAAAACACUUUAUGAUCUUGACAAAUUAAAUUGUUUUCAGGACUCAAAUCCCUAAGGAAACAGUUGUUAUUUAAAAAACUUAGGUUUUGCUUUAUGUAACUUCAAAAGGUUACAUUUUGACUGAGUCAUUGUUUAAUGUUGGAAC
ensembl:lncRNA